rnacentral:misc_RNA from 1 species
UUUGGUGAAGCAUGCAAAUGCAAGCAAGUAAUAAUAAGACAGUAUUUUGCCUCUUGCACAAGUUCAACAGUGCUUAUUGAGUUAUUUGCCUUCCAAACAUCAGAUAAAUCAAGAGAGGCACAUAACAUAACCCUCUACUGUAUCAUUGAACUAUUGGCAAGUCAUAUCUGAGUAUGCCAUGGUAUCAAUGAGGUUAGCUGCUACGCAGAGGGGCACGGGGAGGGAUCUGCAAUAGUACAACCAAACUCAGAUGCCUGUCUACCUUAAGUUUAUAGCCUCCCCUUUGAACAAAUGUUGGUAGAAUAGACUGAUGAAAAUUUUGGACAUAGUCCUAGGGAGACGUAUAUCAGAAACGAGUAGAGAUUUGUGCAAAUAGAGCCUUAAAAUCCUUAGUUGGAGUGCCAGUUCCCUCAGGUUUUGAAGCCAGAUCAAAUGCCUUGAAUUUUGCUUCCUCAUACUGUAGUGCCUGAAUGCAG